rnacentral:rRNA from 1 species
GGCUCGAGUUUUUCAGCAGAUAGAGUUUGAUCCUGGCUCAGAAUUAACGCUAGCGGCGAGCUUAACACAUGCAAGUCGAGGGGCAACGAAAAUGUUUUUAAUUUGUUCGGCGACCGGCGAAUGGGUGAGUAACACGUAUGUAAUCUACCUUUUGCUGGGGUAUAGCCAGGAGAAAUUCUGAUUAAUCCCCCAUAAAAUAAAUGUUCUGCAUGGAGCCUUUAUUAAAACUCAGGUGGCAAAAGAUGAGCAUGCGCUUGAUUAGUUAGUUGGUGCCGUAAUGGCUCUACCAAGACUAUGAUCAGUAGGGGGCCUAAGAGGGUGUACCCCCACACUGGUACUGAGACACGGACCAGACUUCUACGGAAGGCAGCAGUGAGGAAUAUUGGUCAAUGGAGGAAACUCUGAACCAGCUACGCCGUGUGCAGGAUGACGGUCUUUUAGGUUGUAAACUGCUUUUGUAUAGAAAUAAAACUCCUACGAGAUAGGAGCAUGAAGGUACUAUGCGAAUAAGUGUCGGCUAAUUCCGUGCCAGCAGCCGCGGCAAUACGGAUGACACAAGCGUUAUUCGGAUUUAUUGGGUUUAAAGGGUGUGUAGGCUGUUUAUUAAGUCAGUAGUGAAAGCUUACAGCUUAACUGUAAAAUUGCUAUUGAUACUGGUAAACUUGAGUAAGAUUGGAGCAUCUGGAAUGUAUGGUGUAGCGGUGAAAUGCAUAGAUAUCAUACAGAACACCGAUAGCGAAGGCAGGUUGCUAAAUCUUUACUGACGCUGAGUGCACGAAAGCAGGGGUAGCAAACAGGAUUAGAUACCCUGGUAGUCCACGCCCUAAACGAUGAUCACUAGCUAUUGGAAAAACGAUAUUCAGUGGCUUAGCGAAAGCGAUAAGUGAUCCACCUGGGAAGUACAGUCGCAAGAUUCAAACUCAAAGGAAUUGACGGGGGUUCGCACAAGCGGUGGAGCAUGUGGUUUAAUUCGAUGAUACGCGAGGAACCUUACCAAGGCUUAAAUGUAUUACGAAUAAGCUGGAAACAGUUUAGUCUGUACGACGUAUUACAAGGUGCUGCAUGGUUGUCUUCAGUUCGUGCUGUGAAGUGUUUGGUUAAGUCCUAUAACGAGCGCAACCCCUAUUGUUAGUUGCCAUCGGGUAAAGCCGGGGACUCUAACAAAACUGCCGGUGUAAACUGUGAGGAAGGUGGGGAUGAUGUCAAAUCAUCAUGGCCUCUAUGCCUUGGGCUACACACGUGCUACAAUGGCUGGUUACAAAGGGUCGCCACUGGGUGAUCAGGAGCUAAUCUCUAAAACCAGUCUCAGUUCGGAUUGGAGUCUGCAAUUCGACUCUAUGAAGCCGGAAUCGCUAGUAAUCGCGCAUCAGCAAUGGCGCGGUGAAUAUGUUCUCGGACCUUGUACACACCGCCCGUCAAGCCAUGGGAGUCGGGGGUACCUGAAGUCAGUAACCCUUCAGGGGUCUGCCUAAGGUAAACUUGAUAACUAGGGCUAAGUCGUAACAAGGUAACA